rnacentral:rRNA from 1 species
AGUGAACGCUGGCGGUAGGCCUAACACAUGCAAGUCGAACGGCAGCACAGUAAGAGCUUGCUCUUACGGGUGGCGAGUGGCGGACGGGUGAGGAAUACAUCGGAAUCUACUUUUUCGUGGGGGAUAACGUAGGGAAACUUACGCUAAUACCGCAUACGACGUACGGGUGAAAGCAGGGGAUCUUACGACCUUGGGUGAUUGAAUGAGGCGAUGUCGGAUUAGCUAGUUGGCGGGGUAAAGGCCCACCAAGGCGACGAUCCGUAGCUGGUCUGAGAGGAUGAUCAGCCACACUGGAACUGAGACACGGUCCAGACUCCUACGGGAGGCAGCAGUGGGGAAUAUUGGACAAUGGGCGCAAGCCUGAUCCAGCCAUGCCGCGUGUGUGAAGAAGGCCUUCGGAUUGUAAAGCCCUUUUGUUGGGGAAGAAAAGCAGCAAGUUAAUACCCCGCUGUUCUGACGGUACCCAAAGAAUAAGCACCGGCUAACUUCGUG